rnacentral:lncRNA from 1 species
GGGCAACCUGCUGCUGACAAGUCUUCGUAUGUACAGUGAAAACAGUAAAACAAUGCAAGUUUGUAGUCAGUACGGCUUCUCUACUGAUUCCAAGAUUUUCUUUCUCUCCUCUGCUGAGGGCAUCUCCGGUUUCACACCAUUUCUUUUCCUUUGCAUCAUAAUGUCAUGCGCUAUGCAAGGAUUUCUGUCAUGAUCUCUAAGCUGCUGUGCAUACUUGGGCAUUCUAGACACUCGUACCCUGGCUCCGUCCCCGGCCGCGUCCGCGGGAGCCCGAGGCGGGAGGGGGACAGCCCCGUCUCCAAUUCGAAAGACGUCAGCGGCUCGGGCAGAGCGCUUAAGUACGGGCGCAGCCUACCCCGCUCCCGGCCUCGCGGCUCCCCCGGCCCAGCGCCGCCGCCGCCCACGCCCCGGCGGCGCU